AAAUAGUUUUUGCUUAUAUAACACCAUUCAAUUGAGGGGUGGGAUGAAUGAAACUUGUUUUAUAUUAACGUCCUUAUGUUUUAUUUAUAUAAAUGAUGCUGCCAGGCAGAUUCAACACAUAAGUGCCACUGAGGGAUUUUAGAGUGUGUAUGUGUGUAUGAAAUUUAUUAGGGUAGAAAUAAUGGUACCUCUGCAAAUAAUUGACAUAGAAUUUCUGAACACUGAAGCAUAUUAACCUAAAUGAGGGUCAAAACAAAACCGCGGAGGUCCAAGGCAACUUCGGAAGAGCUAGCUGUCAAUUAACAGGUGAUGGAACUAGAAGGAUAGUGGAACUGAGAACUGAUGCCUAAGCUAAGAAAAGAUAAAGGCAGUGCGCCCCCUGCAGGGCGGUGAGGUCCUUGCGAACAACGUCAGCGGUGUAUUGUGCUUUUGUGGAGCUAUUCCCUCAGUACAAGUCUACAGGCAGGGAAAGUCCGCCCUGCAACUUCAGCUUUUGCAUUUAAAGGACGUUUUUCCUGUGACAGGGGCUGAAAGCCGGUCUCUGUCAGCGGCCAGGAAGCGAAUUGCACUGCAGAGUGUGGGCAGCACGGCCAGAAACCACUGUGGGCAGAAAGCAAACCCGAUGGUGCGGCCUUCCACGGCAAGCGGACUGAGCAGCUCGGGACCAAGACCCAAGCCUCUUCUUUCCUCCAAGUAACCUGCUACUGGACCACACAACAGCCUUGCUAGGAUUUGUUUUCCAGAGGAAAAGAAGGGAGAAUCUCAAAAUUGUUUGGAAUCAGACCCAAGCUCCACCUAAGUUGAUAUUCUUAGAGAUCUUCUUGGGAAAGAUGAACUUGUUCAUUCCAGUGUCAGUCAUAAAAUUUACACUUCUAAUAAAGGAACGAAGUUGUUAAACAUGUGAUAUGUGUAGCCUCCAGAUUGCCGCCUUGGCCUGAAGACAGGAAGCCCAAGCCAGCUCUCCAGGGUCUGCUCCCUGCCUUCGGGCUUGGCAUAUUUCACAUUCACACACCCUUCACCCCUUGCCAUGGUAGCAGCAAAGGAAACGUGUCUAUCCAACCCUUUUCCCUCUAUUUUUCCCAGUACACCCAGGUUGGGUUUGCACAACAGAAAAUCCAUCUUUCUUCUUGAAGCGGGACCCAGUAUAGAUGAAUCCAGGUCAGGCCUUUCCUGGAGAACCCAUUAUCAAAAAGAUUAGAAUCAAUAGAAAGUAGAAUUAGGACUCUUGGAGUUGGUGCAACAAGACCUAUACCCUAAUUUAAAUCCACAUAUCUGUGGAUUUAUUUCCAACCAGUGAUCUGCUGGUCAAUGUUUA
rnacentral:lncRNA from 1 species